AAAAAAAUGUGAAUAAAGGUAUACACUAGUUCACUCGAAAUCUCAAGCAAAAAAUCUAAAAACAGACCGAGUACAAAUGGUGAUACAGAAACCAAAGUGAAGCUUCCAAGUUCCAUGUCUCAAAGUCAAUAUUGUUAGGAUAAAAGUUCAUAAUAAUUACAGUAAAUCCAUAUGUUCUUGUGCACUUUAGCACAAUUUUCCAAACCACUGCACUUUGGACACACAUCAUUCUUAAUUAUCACUAAUCAUACAAAAAAGGAACCACGUGUUUGGAUAUUGUAAAAUACAUUUAAUCAAGAGCAAAUUGUUGCAUAGUAUACUAUUUAAUGUCUGUGGAGUGUAUGCUCAAGUCAAGCUUAUGGACCAUUUGGAUUGGCUCUUUCAUGUAGGUCACUCUUCUCAAUUGUACAACAAAAUUUGUUUACAGUUCCUAUUGUGAGCAAGGUACAGUUGGUCACAUAUAAAUAAUAAACAGAUAGAUAGAUAGAUAGAUAGA
rnacentral:misc_RNA from 1 species